ensembl:lncRNA
CCUCCGAGCUGAUGUGCAGGACCGAUCGACAGUUACCGCAAACGUUUAGUCGGAAGGAAGUCACACCAGAUAAUGAAAGCAAAGGUUCACAUACUUUUUCCUCAAUAAAUAAGUGUCCAAGUCUAAUAUUUUUGUCUAAUUUGUGUAAGUGAGUUCUCUUUACCUACUUUAUCUAUUUCUCAAAAAAUCUGAUUAUGGUUUAGGUCAUAUUUAUGCCAAAAAUGCUAAAGGGUUCAUAAACUUUACAAGCACCACUGUGUGUAUGUGUGUGUGUGUGUGUGUGUGCAAUAAUAUACACAUAGGAACUGCCACAACGUUUCCACAGUGCACACUAAAACUUCCUGGGUUUAAUCCGAUUUACCCAGAAGUCCUGCAUCUGUCAGUUGGGUGACUCUACAUUACACUUUCAGUCAUAAUAAACAGCAAAUCAGUCAAAGUAUGAAGUGGGAUUUUUUCCCCCUCUGAGGAAAUAUGAGAGGUAAACACACCUCUAAAGCAUGAGACCAGAGAUAGACUAUUGAUUUGAGUCAUAAUUGAAAUAGCAUGUGUUCUACAAACAGCCCAGUGAAGGUUAAGACACCCAAAAUGAUCAAUUUAUUACACUGUUUAUAUCUUACAUCACACUGCUGUUGACUGUAAAACAGAAGAACCCUUGAGGAACAUAUGUUGUAUUGAACUAGCUAUCUAGUUUCUGUGGAUGUUUGUUUACUACACCAACGGUUUUAUGUGCUACACUGGUUAAUUGAACAUGUGCUGAACUGGGACAUGUCCAUACUUAACAUUUUGUUCCUUUUAUGACCGUUUACUGGUGUUUUAUAGGCUACAGUAUGGAGUUUCUUCCGUUUAGUGUAUACAUUUCACAAUUGUUCAUGCAUGGAGUUGAAGCGUAUGAAUGUAGACUAAAAGCUAUUUUUAGAGCAAUCACAAAUGAGGGUUCAGUAUGUUCAACCUAGUUAAUUAUCCAAGUACAUAACUUUCAUAAAUUUCAAGUGUGGAUGAAUGAUGUUAUUCAUUUAAAUGUGGUUUUUGGUGUUUAAAAAUAAGAGGUAAUAAAGUUAAUUGGACCCUGGGAAACUGAGUCCUGACUACUGUAUAUAAAAACCUUUUUAAAAAGUUUACUUAAUGUGUGUUAACAGAAUACUGAACUGGGGAACAUAGGAAUGACACCCUUCCAAGCUAUCCAAGCUAGCCUAGCUAAUCAAUGACUGCCCAGAAAACACCAGCAAAUUAGCUAUGUUAUAUUCCAU